CCUACGGGAGGCAGCAGUGGGGAAUUUUGGGCAAUGGGGGAAACCCUGACCCAGCGACGCCGCGUGGGGGAAGAAGCCCUUCGGGGGGUAAACCCAUGUUGUAGGGGAAGAAGAAAGUGACGGUACCUUACGAGGAAGCCCCGGCCAACUACGUGCCAGCAGCCGCGGUAAAACGUAGGGGGCGAGCGUUGUCCGGAAUUACUGGGCGUAAAGGGCACGCAGGCGGUUGGCCAAGUCGGGGGUGAAAAGCUACGGCUCAACCGGGACAUUGCGGUCGAUACGGGGCCUCUGGAGUGCGGGAGAGGGAAGUGGAAUUCCCGGUGUAGCGGUGAAAUGCGUAGAUAUCGGGAGGAACGCCGGUGGCGAAGGCGGCUUCCUGGCCCGCAACUGACGCUCAUGUGCGAAAGCCAGGGGAGCGAACCGGAUUAGAUACCCGGGUAGUCCUCGCCGUAAACGAUGGAAAAUAAAUGGAGGGGGGCCCCCGUCGGGGCCGAAG
rnacentral:rRNA from 1 species